GACGUAGGAUGCAAGCGUUGUCCGGAAUUAUUGGGCGUAAAGAGUUCGUAGGCGGUUUGUUAAGUCUGGUGUUAAAGACGGGAGCUCAACUCCCGCAUGGCAUUGGAUACUGGCAGGCUAGAGUGUGGUAGAGGUCUCGGGAAUUCCUGGUGUAGCGGUGAAAUGCGUAGAUAUCAGGAGGAACACCAAUGGCGAAGGCAGCUCGCUGGGACGUGACUGACGCUGAGACGCGAAAGCGUGGGGAGCAAACAGG
rnacentral:rRNA from 1 species